AUUGAACGCUGGCGGCAGGCUUAACACAUGCAAGUCGAGCGAGCGGCGGACGGGUGAGUAAUGUCUGGGAAACUGACUGAUGGAGGGGGAUAACUACUGGAAACGGUAGCUAAUACCGCAUACCCUCAGAUGUGCCCAGAUGGGAUUAGCUAGUAGGUGGGGUAAUGGCUCACCUAGGCGACGACCCCUAGCUGGUCUGAGAGGAUGACCAGCCACACUGGAACUGAGACACGGUCCAGACUCCGAAGGAAGGCAGCCGGGGGGAAUAUUGCCCAAUGGGCGCAAGCCUGAUGCAGCCAUGCGGCGUGUGUGAAGAAGGCCUUCGGGUUGUAAAGCACGUUCAGCGAGGAGGCGUUACUCGCAGAAGAAGCACCGGCUAACUCCGUGCCAGCGGCCGCGGUAAUUG
rnacentral:rRNA from 1 species